AGUAACACGUGGGGAACCUGCCCCAUAGUCUGGGAUACCACUUGGAAACAGGUGCUAAUACCGGAUAAGAAAGCGGAUCGCAUGAUCAGCUUUUAAAAGGCGGCGUAAGCUGUCGCUAUGGGAUGGCCCCGCGGUGCAUUAGCUAGUUGGUAAGGUAAAGGCUUACCAAGGCGAUGAUGCAUAGCCGAGUUGAGGGACUGAUCGGCCACAUUGGGACUGAGACACGGCCCAAACUCCUACGGGAGGCAGCAGCC
rnacentral:rRNA from 1 species